rnacentral:rRNA from 1 species
AGAGUUUGAUCCUGGCUCAGGAUGAACGCUAGCGGGAGGCUUAACACAUGCAAGUCGAGCGGGAUUAGCAGCAAUGCUAUGAGAGCGGCGCACGGGUGCGUAACCGUAACGCGUAUGCAACCUGCCUUAUACAGGGGAAUAGCCCAUGGAAACGUGGAUUAAAGUCCCAUAGAAUCAAGAUAUCGCAUGGUAUUAUGAUUAAAACUGAGGUGGUAUAAGAUGGGCAUGCGUCUGAUUAGGUAGUUGGUGAGGUAACGGCUCACCAAGCCGACGAUGACUAGGGGUUCUGAGAGGAUGAUCCCCCACACUGGUACUGAGACACGGACCAGACUCCUACGGGAGGCAGCAGUAAGGAAUAUUGGGCAAUGGAGGCAACUCUGACCCAGCCAUGCCGCGUGAAGGAUUGACGGCCCUCUGGGUUGUAAACUUCUUUUGUACGGGAAUAACCCUCCGAACGUGUUCGGAGCUGAAGGUACCUAAGAAUAAGCACCGGCUAACUCCGUGCCAGCAGCCGCGGUAAUACGGAGGAUCCAAGCGUUAUCCGGAUUUAUUGGGUUUAAAGGGUGCGUAGGCGGUUUGAUAAGUCAGCGGUGAAAUAUUUCAGCUUAACUGGAAGGGUGCCGUUGAUACUGUCAGGCUUGAAUAUGGUUGAGGUAGCUGGAAUGUGUUGUGUAGCGGUGAAAUGCAUAGAUAUGACACAGAACACCGAUUGCGAAGGCAGCUUACUAAGCCAUUACUGACGCUGAGGCACGAAAGCGUGGGGAUCAAACAGGAUUAGAUACCCUGGUAGUCCACGCCGUAAACGAUGAUCACUCGCUGUUUGCGAUACACAGCAAGCGGCCAAGCGAAAGCAUUAAGUAUUCCACCUGGGAAGUACGAUCGCAAGGUUGAAACUCAAAGGAAUUGACGGGGGCCCGCACAAGCAGUGGAGCAUGUGGUUUAAUUCGAUGCAACGCGAAGAACCUUACCUAGGCUUGAAAGGCAAGUGACAGGGUAUGAAAGUACCCCUCCAGCAAUGGCACUUGUACAGGUGCUGCAUGGCUGUCGUCAGCUCGUGCCGUGAGGUGUUGGGUUAAGUCCCGCAACGAGCGCAACCCCUACUAUUAGUUGCCACCAGGUUAUGCUGAGCACUCUAAUAGGACUGCCUACGCAAGUAGUGAGGAAGGUGGGGAUGACGUCAAGUCCGCAUGGCCCUUACGCCUAGGGCCACACACGUGCUACAAUGGAUGUUACAAUGGGUAGCUAAACCGCAAGGUGGAGCCAAUCCUCCAAAGUCGUCCCAGUUCGGAUUGGAGUCUGAAACUCGACUCCAUGAAGUUGGAAUUGCUAGUAAUCGUGGAUCAGCACGCCACGGUGAAUACGUUCCCGGGCCUUGUACACA